GGAACCUUUUCAAUUAAAGUUGAAAAAGAGAUACAAAACAGAUAAAAUAAAACAGAUGAUUCCUUUGUUCUUUCUUUUUACUUCUUCAUCUUCUUCCUCUUCUUUAUCUUUAGAGCGACACAGACCAUAUUGUCCACUCAGCUGCAAGGUUUUGUAACGGUUGGUAGAGGGCAUUGUUGUCAUUCUGCACCGCUUGAAAACAACAGCUGAGAGCAACUGGCCAGCGGUGUUUGAGACUUGAAAGAGAAAACAAAGAUGUCAUGUCUCUCAGUUUUUACACUAAACUUGUUUUACUCACUCAGCCAUAGAGCUAACAUUAGCAAAAUCAGCUUUAAAAUGAAGAUAUAAUCAUUUUCUUUGCUUUUUCACUUCCUCACCAAUGCCUCUCUCUCUCAUCAACUCUUUCUUUUCUUUGAUUUUACUCUAUAGUUUUCUCUUUAAUUUUUGAGUUUUUGUUUCAUUUUCUGAGCUAUCUUCUUCACAAUUCAUUACUCAUUUGAGAAAAUCCUAUAAUGGAAACUGGUUCGAGCUCAGAUUCUGUUGGCAAGUUGGAGCUACAGAGAGAAAGAGCUACCGCUAACACGAAACUCGGCUCUACACUGCCGAAGAUCGAGCCAUUUGUGUCAAGAACUCAUAAUCCAAGAGAGCUGAAAUCUUGGGCUAAGAGAACUGGCUUUGUCUCCACUUUCUCUAGUGAAACCACUACAAGCAACAGCGAAAAGUUUGAUAGCAGCACUGGCUUUGACUUGGAGAGGGGUCUUCACCAUCAUAAGAACGGUGGGUCGUCCCCAAAAAUCGAGAUCGACCCGAUUCUUGGCCGGACCAGGCCUGCUAGAGGCUCAGAAAUUGAACCUGCUUCGGGUUCAGCUUCUAGGUCAGGCAAUGAGUUCAGGAAUGGAAAUGGUAGGAGCUUGGGAUUGAGAGAUGAGAAGAAGAGGAGGAGAAUAGGAGAUGAAUCUGUUGUGGGAGUUAAGGAUGGGGAAAGGAAAGUUGGAUUAAAUGGAAAUGGAAUUGGAAUUGGCAAUGUUAAUGUGAAUGGCAGUGGCGCCAGGAAUGAGAGUGUAAAUGGUACUGUAAAUGAAAUCCCGGCAACUACUCCGCCUAUGGAGCCAAAGAAAGAAGAAGAAAAUGCUGGAACUGAUAUUGGAAUUGAGAUGUAUCCGGGUGGGGAUGAUCCUGAUACUGGAGGGUGGCACAGACACAGUGGAAUGAGACUUGGUUUGAGAGAUAAUCCUGGUUUUGGUUAGAACUACACACAUUUUCCCCUUCUUUUUCUACUUUUCUAACGGGUUUUUCUUUGAUCCAUUUUGUUUCUUAACGGGUGUUUGUAUGUGGAAAUGAAAACACUGUUUUAUUAGCAAUAUGAUAAAGUAUUAAGACUCCAAGAUAGAACCCAUUGUAUUUUUAAAAUAAUAAGCUGAAUAGAGAGCUGAUUGUGUAAGUGGCUGUUGAUGGAGAACUAAAUUUGUUAGCAGAUGAAGAUUAGUUAAUGUUUAUUUAUUGCUUUAAUAGGAACUUGAAAGAGCUAGUGAAUGGUGAAUACCUGUAUUUGUCUGCGUUCUUUAAUGGAUGAAGCCACAAUAAAAUUUUCAAACGGGCUUAGCGUAGUUGCUGCUAUCUUUCUCUUUCUGUCAGAAGUUUGUAGACAUGGCAUUGGUAUCAGAAUAAUACCAGUCAGGCAAAUAAAUGAAAGGGGGGAAACAGUCAGAGGUCAUUAAAUGCAGUGUCAGGAAAUCACCUUUUAUGCUUGAGAAUUUUAGUUUUAGGGAUUGGGAUGUUGAACUCUUGUUAACACUGUACUCAUAUCCACUAGUACUCUCUAAUUUUGAGCAAUUUUGCAAAGUUUAGUUUAUUACAAUAUGCGAGACAAACAAGUUUGACCAUUGCAGUUAACUACUGUGAAAUUUCUAGUGGUGCAAAAUUUUUUUCCUGUUUAUACUCCUUUUGUGCAUUUAAUAUCAUAACCUUUCAUCUAGUUUAUUUUUAAGCUGUCAGGUCUAUUAACUGUUUUCUCUUUUGAACUUGUCAACUUGACCUUUAUGUCAUGAGUUUUAGGAAAUUAUGCUAUCCACACGCCCUGCAGGUUUGGAUUUCAAAGAUCCAAAAAUUUAACUAGAUUUUAAAGGAAGUGAGAAUUUUGAUUUGUCAAAGGUUGCAAAGGCACAGAUCAUUUUCUACCAUUGUGGGACUCUUCGGUCUUUCAGUCAACGAUGAUUUCCCCCCUCCUUUUUGAGUUCCCUUAAGUUUCCUAGAAAUUAGUUCUUUCCCUGAUCCUUACCUGUUUGUCUCUUGACUGCAGUGCCACUUAUGUAUUAUGGCCUGCAACACUAUUUAUCAUUGGCUGGCUCACUGAUUUUCAUCCCCUUGAUCAUCGUACCAGCCAUGGGAGGAACAGAUAGGGACACUGCUACAGUGAUAUCUACAAUGUUGCUGGUCUCUGGCAUUACAACAAUAUUGCACUCCUACUUUGGUACCCGACUUCCAUUAGUUCAAGGGAGUUCAUUUGUGUAUUUGGCACCAGCAUUAGUUAUCAUGAAUGCGGAGGAGUAUCGGAAUCUCUCAGAACAUGUAAGUUCAUUGCUAGGAAAAAUCUUUGAAGUGAUAUAUCUGUCAGCUUUAAGCUUGGCACUAAACAAUGACAUUUUUCUAGCUUUGCCACCAAUGCAUUUUAAAAUGCCAAAUUCCUAGCAAACCUUUUGCAUCCCAACACGUACAACUUUUUUCCCCAAAAUAGCGAAACCAAAAUAUCAAACAUAAACUAUAAUGUCAAACUUCUUAUUGAAUGAUAUGUGAGAAUUGUGGCGAUAAUUCUUCUGCUGCCUUCUUUGUGUUUCAAGCAUCAAGGAGAUUUGCAGAUCAUGAAUAUUGUAUUUUUCCUUUGAUUAACUGCUUUAACCUUUCAUUUCAUGCUCACUGAAAUUAGAAAUUCAGACACAUAAUGAGGGAGCUCCAGGGGGCUAUAAUCGUUGGUUCAAUAUUCCAAAGCAUCUUGGGAUUCACUGGUUUAAUGUCCCUUCUUCUAAGAUUGAUUAAUCCAGUCGUGGUUGCACCAACUGUCACUGCAGUAGGUUUAUCAUUUUUUAGCUAUGGUUUUCCACAAGCUGGUAGUUGUGUGGAAGUUAGCAUUCCUCUGAUACUAUUGGUUCUUAUAUUCGCCCUGGUGAGUGAAGAUUAAGCAAUCUAAAUGCCUGACCUUUUGCUUUUUUAAUAUGAAGAUCCUUGCAUUCAAAAUUUCUAUAUCUAAUGUACAACUAAUUUGUUAGUAAUUUUUCAUCUGAAUUCUUUUAAUUGUUUUGGAAGUGUUUAAAACACUUAAUUUUGUAUUUUUGUUGCCUCUUUAUUAGUAUCUUCGCGGAUUAUCCAUCUUUGGUCAUCGCUUAUUCCGAAUUUAUGCGGUAUGUUUCUUAGUUCUCUGUGCCGCCUACCUAGUUCUUUCAUUAUUCUGUUUAAUAUUGGUUUGUUGAUGCUGAGUUUUGAAACUAAUGUGUACUCCAAUUGAAUACUAUCCCUUCACAAUCAAAGAUGAAGCCCUAGGGAGAACUGUACUGGCAAAUGUUGCUGUCGUUACUUGGAUAAUCUUACUGUUUUUUGUCAAUGCAGGUCCCCCUGAGUGUCAUGAUCAUAUGGACAUAUGCAUUCUUUCUGACGGCUGGUGGAGCAUAUGAUUACAAAGGAUGCAGCCCUGACAUACCAAGUUCAAAUAUUUUACUUGAUGCAUGUAGAAGGCAUGCAUAUACAAUGCAGCAUUGCAGGACCGAUGUUUCUAAUGCAUGGAGAACUUCUGCGUGGGUCAGAAUUCCCUACCCUUUGCAAUGGGGUGUCCCAAUCUUCCAUCUAAGGACUUCCUUGAUCAUGAUAAUUGUGUCACUGAUUGCAUCAGUGGAUUCGGUUGGAACGUAUCACUCUGCAUCCUUACAAGUUAACUCAAAGCCUCCAACUCCAGGAAUUGUCAGCAGAGGAAUUGGGUUGGAGGGCUUCUGCAGUAUAUUGGCUGGACUGUGGGGUUCUGGUACCGGUUCAACAACCUUAACAGAAAAUGUGCAUACCAUCAACAUAACAAAGGUGGCCAAUCGGAGGGCUGUGGUUCUUGGAGCAGUUUUCUUGAUCCUCUUCUCAUUUGUAGGUAAACACCUUAAACUUGAAAAAAAAAGGCCAAGAUGGUGAGUGAAAUCCUCCAGGGUGCCUAUUCCUUUUUUAUUUUUAUUGAAUGUCUGUUGAGGAGUGCAGCCAAAAGGUGAGUUCUGGAAAUGGCUUUAAGUGCAGAGUCAUUUCUUAACCACACGUUUAAUUAGGGCACAUAGUGGAUAGGUUGAAUUAGGCGUCCAAGUGAAAAUUAAAAUUUCUUUUGCCUUUUGAGAUUGGAAAUUAGUCCUAAAAUAGUGUUCAAGAAAUCUAUGGCUUCCUGUUUGAACACGUUCUGUGCAAUAUAAUUUCUGCAUGCACACAUGAAAGUCAUAAAUCCUUCAUGUCAUAGCAUAGUUAUGAGUUUGCUGAUUUGCUCACACAUCAGAGUAAUUAAGGUAAAUUUUGAAAUACUUUGCAUGGUUUAAUAUGAGAUAGUUUUCAGGAACUCAAUGACAGAUUGGCUUGGCAUUUAAUCCUCUCUUUUAGGAGUGCAAUGAAUUGAGUACAUUCUAUGGGGUGAGUUAUCAUAUUAACUUUUUUACUUGUGUUCAAUAGGAAAAGUGGGUGCUAUUCUUGCUUCUAUACCACUGGCAUUAGCUGCUUCCAUACUUUGCUUCAUGUGGGGCCUUAUUGUGGCAUUGGGUCUCUCAACUUUGCAGUACAGUCAAACAUCAAGUUUUAGAAACAUCGCAAUAGUAGGUGUUUCAUUGUUCCUUGGUUUGUCAAUUCCUGCCUAUUUUCAGCAGUAUCAACCUGAAUCUAGCUUGAUAUUACCAAGUUAUUUUGUUCCUUAUGCGGCAGCAUCAAAUGGACCAGUCCACACUAACAGUAAACAAGUAUGCUCUUACCAUUUUCUUUUCUAAUCAAUGUACACAUGCAUGAGUAAUAUAUGAGCAUUUAUUCUUUUGUAUAGUUUUGCAUAUUCAGUUCUGUUUUCUGUUGUCCUCCUGACAUUCAAAAGUUGAUCUUUCUCUGUCUCUGUUUUAUGGUUCAUCCACUAGUUUGAUUUUGCGGUAAAUGCGCUUAUGUCCAUGAACAUGGUGGUGACUCUCUUGAUAGCACUGGUACUUGAUAACACAGUCCCUGGCACCCGACAAGAGAGAGGGGUGUGUAUAUGGUCACAUCCUGAAGACUUGGCUUCUGAUCCAUCUUUACAUGCAAAUUAUUCCCUUCCUAGAAAAGUUUCCUGGUUCUUCUGUUGCUCAAGAUGUUCGCGUACAUAACUUACAGUUUUUUCUGGCAUUUACUUUGUUGUUUGACUUUUAGCAGACCACACUCCAUUCUUAUCAGUAGUUGUGAAGUUCCUAGGCUGAGAAGCUGUUUGCUUAUACUGGGGCCACAGAGAUUGGAGGUAAUGCAGCUCAACUUAUAGUAUUAGUAAUAUUUCAUUCUACCGCAAGAAAUCAAGAAAUUUCAUUCAUCACUGAACUAAAUGACAUUGUAUUUUGUCAUAGAAAAUAGCAUAGUUGAAUUCAUAUUAUGUCAAUAGUCAAAACAAUUCAUAUUAUGUCAAUAGUCAAAAC
rnacentral:misc_RNA from 1 species